AGCAGCCGCGGUAAUUCCAGCUCCAAUAGCGUAUAUUAAAGUUGUUGCAGUUAAAAAGCUCGUAGUUGAACUUCGGGAUCAAUGGAUUGGUCAUGCCGAUGGUGUGUACUGGUCAUAUUGGUUCUCACCUUCUAAGGAACCAUAAUGUCAUUUAUUUGAUGUUGUGGGGAAUUAGGACUGUUACCUUGAAAAAAUUAGAGUGUUUAAAGCAGGCUAACGCUUGAAUACAUUAGCAUGGAAUAAUGAAAUAGGACAUCGCAUUCUAUUUUGUUGGUUUCUAGGAUCGAUGUAAUGAUUAAUAGGGAUAGUUGGGGGCAUUAGUAUUCAAUUGUCAGAGGUGAAAUUCUUGGAUUUAUUGAAGACUAACUACUGCGAAAGCAUUUGCCAAGGAUGUUUUCAUUAAUCAAGAACGAAAGUUAGGGGAUCGAAGACGAUCAGAUACCGUCGUAGUCUUAACCAUAAACUAUGCCGACUAGGGAUCGGAUGAUGUUAAUUUUUUAAUGACUCAUUCGGCGCCUUA
rnacentral:rRNA from 1 species